ensembl:lncRNA
AGUAAUUAUCCAAAAAUUUUAACAUGCUGAACAUUUUCUCACCUUCAGUCCACCCAAGAUGUAGAUGGGUUUAUUCCUUCAUCAAAACAAAUUUGGAUAAAUUUAGCAUCACAUCUCUUGCUCACCAAUGGAUCCUCUGCAGUGGAUGGGUGCCGUCAUAAUGAGUCUAAACAGCUGAUAAUACAAGUAAUGUAGUAAUAAUGAUUAUUAUUAUUUUGUUGAUUACUUAUGGAUUAUUGUGAUGUUUUUAUCAGCUGUUUGGAUUCUCAUUCUGACGGCACCCAUUCACUGCAGAGUAUCCAUACGUGAGCAAGUUAUGCUAAAUUUGUCCAAAUCUGUUCAGAUAAAGAAACAAACUCAUCUCGGAUGGCCUGAGGUUGAGUGCUUUUUCAGGAAAUUAAAAUUUUGGGGUGAACUAUUCCUGUAAGUGUUUCACUGGAAGAGUAACAUCAUACAACCUUGGAGCACAGGAGGGGGAGAGAAUAAGGACAGAACUAUUCCUUUAAGAGAUUGUUUGUAAAAGGAGUAGCCAUUAUGUGCAUAUCAGAAGAACUAUAUUGCUUUGCCACCAGGAUUUGUUAUAGCAGAUCCUGGACACAAUCAUGGUUAAAUAACCAUUUCAUAAAAAGCAGUCAGAACGGGAUUUGGGGUUUGUUUUUUUCCCAAAUACGUCUAAUCACUGUUGGGAUACACAGCCUUGUUUGGUGCGAGAGCUCGUGCAGUAUGUGCAUACUGGAUACGAGUCCUGUAGUUAUCUGGGUCUCAUGCCUUGCGAAUGUUUGUAUUGUUAUUUAUUUAUUUAUUUAAAUAAAAAUAAAAAACUUGUAUAUGCAGGGAAUGUAAUCUACCACAUUUAGUACAGAGCAUAAAGUACUGAAUGACACGACUAAUGAUGCUAAACUAGCUACUGUAUGUAUUCAGAAAGAAAAUCUGCUUCAGGUUUCAGUGUCAAGUUGGAAAACCCUAAUAUGAUAGCACUAACUUGUACUCAGCUGAGAGACUUUUUGUAUUAUUUUAGCUUUGUAAGUUACUCUUGAGUUUGUUAAAGUAAGGCAAAGUGAGAUAUUUCACGGCGAAAACAUCAUGAAUGUAUUGUUUGUAAAGGAAGGAAUGUUAUAAUGUUAUUAUGUAAUGACUGUCUCUGGAAUCGCCAGUAUUUAUAUGCUGUACCUUAAUGCCAUUUAGGCCUUUCAAAUAAAAUGUGCUGCCUUGUGUUUGUG